rnacentral:rRNA from 1 species
UACGUAGGGUGCGAGCGUUGCCCGGAUUUAUUGGGCGUAAAGGGCGCGUAGGCGGCUACGCACGUCCGUUGUGAAAUCGCUCGGCUCAAAUGGGCGGGGUCAGCGGAUACGGCGUAGCUGGAGCAAGCUAGGGGGCAAUGGAAUUCCCGGUGUAGUGGUGGAAUGCGUAGAUAUCGGGAGGAACACCAGUGGCGAAGGCGGUUGCCUGGAGCUUUGCUGACGCUGAUGCGCGAAAGCGUGGGGAGCGAUCCGG